UAUCCUGGCUCAGAGCGAACGUUAGCGGCGGGCUUAACACAUGCAAGUCGAGCGAGAAAAGGGCUUCGGCCCUUAGUAAAGCGGCGGACGGGUGAGUAACACGUAGGUAAUCUUCCCUUGGAGCGGGGGACAACAGGCCGAAAGGCCUGCUAAUACCGCAUACGUUUCUCGGGACUCUGGGUCCUGGGAAGGAAAGCUAGGCCGCAAGGUCCGGCACUCGAGGAGGAGCCUGCGUCGCAUCAGCUAGUUGGUGGGGUAACGGCCUACCAAGGCGAAGACGCGUAGCUGGUCUGAGAGGAUGAUCAGCCACACUGGGACUGAGACACGGCCCAGACUCCUACGGGAGGCAGCAGUGGGGAAUAUUGGACAAUGGGCGCAAGCCUGAUCCAGCCACGCCGCGUGAGUGAUGAAGGCCUUCGGGUCGUAAAGCUCUGUGGGGAGGGACGAACCGCCGUUGGUGCAUAGCCAACGGCAUGACGGUACCUCCUUAGCAAGCACCGGCUAACUUCGUG
rnacentral:rRNA from 1 species